UACGGAGGGUGCAAGCGUUAAUCGGAAUUACUGGGCGUAAAGCGCACGCAGGCGGAAUGAUAAGUCUGAUGUGAAAUCCCCGGGCUCAACCUGGGAACUGCAUCGGAUACUGGCAUGCUUGAGUGUCGUAGAGGAGGGUAGAAUUCCAGGUGUAGCGGUGAAAUGCGUAGAGAUCUGGAGGAAUACCGGUGGCGAAGGCGGCCCCCUGGACGAAGACUGACGCUCAGGUGCGAAAGCGUGGGUAGCAAACAGG
rnacentral:rRNA from 1 species